AUGCAACCUGAGCUCAGACCACCGGCCUCUCAGAACCAGAGAUCUAUCCCUGAGUUGCAAGUGAAACAGGGAGAGGUGCACUCAGAAUCCCCAUCUUCCUCUGUUGUUAGUCCUGAAACCAGUCAAACCCUGUCUCUGUCUCCGAGAAACAACUGCCCUCCGACCAGGAAAAGGCCAGCUGUUGAAUCUCUGGAAACAUUGGUUAGACCUUGCACCAGUAACCCCCAACCCGAUGAGCCUUUGCCAGCCAAGUGCACAUGCUUCUCAGAGAAGUAUAUCAGUCAGCCCAGCACUGAAUCAACCUCAGAGUCCACUCCUGUUAACCCUGCUGCAACCUCCACCCUCCUGGCUCCCAAGGACACAGGACCUGGAACUGAUGAACAAGACCCAUCCAUUGUCAACCAGAAAAAGUUGGAGCAUCUAAUGGCUCUGCUGAGAGAGAUGAAGUCUGACAUAAACAUAUCAGCUCCAGAUGAUGCUGAGGCAACAACCUCCUGUGCAGACGGUAGAUCUGAAACGGCAAAAAAACAAACAAGAUGGGAUUCGAAGUGGCAGCAGGUUAAAGCUACACCGAAAAAUAACUCCCCCUCCACCGACUCAUUGGAGGGGAUGUUUUCAACAACAGCAGCUCCUGAGAACCAACUCACCACCACUCAUGUGAACCCUGCUUUCUCUGCCGCCAGCUCAUCUAUUGAGGGCUAUUUAGCGAGGGACAACCAAGCUGAGGCAGUCAAUGUGUCUUCCGCCAGCACUGCUGACCCCAAUGAUCCACAACAACAGAGAAGUGUUCAGAGCAUGUUUGUAAAUGUGAGCCAGUUCAUUCCUACUUCCUUUCACUGUGUAGCCAACAACCACAAUUCAGGUCAGAUACCACAAGGUAACACAGACACAGACAGCCCUGGGGGUGGUCAGUUGCCCAUUGACUCCAUCAUAACCGCCAGGCCAGAGCUCCAUAACCAGCAGUUUAUGGGUGGCUAUAAUGCACAGGACCACACGGAGGUGAACAGAGGCCAUCAGGUCACGCACAGUUUGCCCACAGUUGCAACAGCAAGUCCCAGUGACAGUCUGGCUGCUCUCGGGGGGUAUGGUCAGUACAGCCAAAUGGCUUAUGUCACAAAUGGAGACGUUCCAGGUUAUCUUUCUUCUGAGGCUGUUGGAUACACAACUCAAGACAACCUUUCUGAAAGAUACACAAAAAGGGUUUUCUACACCAGCCAGAUUUACCCAGAACAAGUAAACCGCUUUGGACACUUAGCAACUCCAAUGCCACCAGGAUGGCUGGAAAUCCAACAGCAGCAGCAGCUAAUGCAGCGGCAACUAAUGCAGCAGCAACUAAUGCAGCAGCAGUACUCCGCAUGGACAAGAUGA
rnacentral:lncRNA from 15 species